rnacentral:rRNA from 1 species
AUUGAACGCUGGCGGCAUGCCUUACACAUGCAAGUCGAGCGGCAGCGCGGGAGCAACCCUGGCGGCGAGCGGCGGACGGGUGAGUAAUACAUCGGAACGUGUCCUUUCGUGGGGAGUAACCAGUCGAAGACUGGCUAAUACCGCAUGAGAUCUCACGAUGAAAGCGGGGCCGCAAGGCCUCGCGCGAUUGGAGCGGCCGAUGUCGGAUUAGCUAGNGGGUCGGGGU